AUGGUCCACUCCACUCCCACAUUUUCUGAUCCACUGGAGUACUUACAGGCAACACCAUGGGUUUUCAAGCCAGCCCUCCUCUGCCCCGAUCAGUGGGCUGUGACAGAUGAAUUUCUGUUGAAUCGACCAGACUGGUGGCUUCACAUGGGGCAACUCUUCACCAAGACAUACCUUUUUGUUGCUUCUGACGACCUGCUGGCAGGAACUAAGCGUGUGUCUGUUCUACGUGUGCCAGGGGUGUCAAAUCAGGGUCUUUGAAGUUGUACAAAUCAAGGGGAUUAGUCAUAGUUCCAGGGACAGCAAAAGGCUAAGCCCAGCACAGCAAAGAUCAUAUGGCUUCGUGCAUCUGGAAACCUGGCUUGGAUGCUUCUCCUUGUUGCAGUGUGGGUAUUUUAUGCACCGUUUACCUUGAAUCAGUUCUUAUGGCCCCAGAUUUCUUGAAUCCAUAGAGAAAGUAGAACCCCGAUCAGUGGGCUGUGACAGAUGAAUUUCUGUUGAAUCGACCAGACUGGUGGCUUCACAUGGGGCAACUCUUCACCAAGACAUACCUUUUUGUUGCUUCUGACGACCUGCUGGCAGGAACUAAGCGUGUGUCUGUUCUACGUGUGCCAGGGGUGUCAAAUCAGGGUCUUUGAAGUUGUACAAAUCAAGGGGAUUAGUCAUAGUUCCAGGGACAGCAAAAGGCUAAGCCCAGCACAGCAAAGAUCAUAUGGCUUCGUGCAUCUGGAAACCUGGCUUGGAUGCUUCUCCUUGUUGCAGUGUGGGUAUUUUAUGCACCGUUUACCUUGAAUCAGUUCUUAUGGCCCCAGAUUUCUUGAAUCCAUAGAGAAAGUAGAUAUUUCAUCGUUAUCUUAAUAGCCCAUUUAAUACAGAGUGACAGUACAAUCCAAUCAGAAAGUUAUUCCUCAGACCAUUAAAUUCAUGUGGAAACUCCAACCAUAGCUUUUAAACUCACUUUCUGAUCUUUUGUUAUCAAAUCGGACAAAAUGUUACUUAAGUGUGAUUAUACAAUAGUUUUUUUUCUCUACCAUAAGGCUGUAUUUGACAGCACUUUUGAAGCAAGGAAGGUUCAUAACAGAUAUGCUGACAAAACAGGGAUGCAGGCAUAUUUCUGCAGAAAUUUGUAACAAAAUGCCGAUCAUUUAGAAAAGACUUAUUUCAAAAAUCAGCUUCAAGAUUUCUGAGUUAUCUAGUAUUGCUUUCACAAUAGAUACUUGAUAAACAUGUCAGAGGCAAGAACAACUAUACAACAGCAAAUCAUUCACAUUUGUGUUCCCAAUGCGUGUGUCACCCCCCCCACAAGGAAGUGAUGCUCAGUUUUACCAGUAAAAGGGUCCUUUACUGGAAACAAAUCCAACAGAAAUCCCAAACAUUUCAGAAAAAUGAAUGUGUGGUCACUAGUAUCUUUCUUAAAAAAGUAUUAAUUUUGUUACUGGAACCGC
rnacentral:lncRNA from 1 species